GCAAGUCGCACGCAGUAGCUUCGGCUGCUGAGUGGCGCACGGCUGAGGAACACGUGGGAACCUGCCCGACCGUGGGGGAUAACGCGCCGAAAGGCGUGCUAAUCCCGCAUACGUUCGCAAGAAGAAAGCAGCAAUGCGCGGUCGGAGGGGCCUGCGGCCCAUCAGGUAGUCGGCGGGGUAACGGCCCACCGAGCCAAUGACGGGUAGCUGGUCUGUAAGGACAGACAGCCAGACUGGGACUGAGACACGGCCCAGACUCCUACGGGAGGCAGCAGCAAGGAAUUUUCGGCAAUGGGCGCAAGCCUGACCGAGCAACGCCGCGUGGAGGAUGACGGCCUUCGGGUUGUAAACUCCUUUUCCAGGGGAUGAUGAUGACCGUACCCUGGGAAUCAGGCUCGGCUAACUCUGUGCCAGCAGCCGCGGUAAGACAGAGGAGCCAAGCGUUGUCCGGAUUGACUGGGCGUAAAGCGCACGCAGGCGGUGGGGCACGUGGGGUGUGAAAGCGGCCCGCUUAACGGGGCGAGGCCAUCCCAUACGGCCCGACUCGAGAGUGGCAGAGGUUCGUGGAAUUGCCGGUGUAGUGGUGAAAUGCGUAGAGAUCGGCAGGAACACCAAGGGGGAAACCAGCGAACUGGGCCAUAUCUGACGCUCAGGUGCGAAAGCGUGGGGAGCGAACCGGAUUAGAUACCCGGGUAGUCCAUGCCGUAAACGAUGAAUACUCGGCAUCUGGUGGCCGAUCUUCGGCGGCCGGGUGCCCCAGCUAACGCGGUAAGUAUUCCGCC
rnacentral:rRNA from 1 species